UGGGGAAUCUUGCACAAUGGGGGCAACCCUGAUGCAGCGACGCCGCGUGAGCGAUGAAGCCCUUCGGGGCGUAAAGCUCUUUCGACCGGAACGAUAAUGACGGUACCGGGAGAAGAAGCUGCGGCUAACUACGUGCCAGCAGCCGCGGUAAUACGUAGGCAGCAAGCGUUGUUCGGAGUUACUGGGCGUAAAGAGUGCGUAGGCGGUUUUCUAAGUUCGGUGUGAAAUCUCCCGGCUUAACUGGGAGGGUGCGCCGAAGACUGGGAAGCUGGAGUGUGGGAAAGGCAGGCGGAAUUCCAGGUGUAGCGGUGAAAUGCGUAGAUAUCAGGAGGAACACCGGCGGUGUAGACGGCUUGCUAGACCAUAACUGAGGCUGAGGCACGAAAGCGUGGGUAGCAAACA
rnacentral:rRNA from 1 species